rnacentral:lncRNA from 1 species
UCAGUUUACAAUAUCGAUAAGGUUACAGCCAUGUACCUGGUAUUGGAAGUAAAAGAAGAGGAAGAUCAAAAAUCAGCAAGGCAGUAAUCAACACAGCAAAAUAAUAAUAGCAAUAGCUAAACCCAGCAAUAGAUUUCAACAAAAUCCAGUAAAAUCAAACAGAAAUACCAACAGAAAUGGACUUUAACCCACAUCAAUAUCAACAUUAUGAACUCAAAGACACACUAGUGUUACUUAAGAUCAGUGUUAGUGUAUUUAAAUCAAGAGAAAUAAAAUCAAUGAAGUGAAAGAGAAGCUUCAAAUAAACAGUGGGGUUUUCAGCUCUCUAAUUUUUUUAACUCUCAAUUCUUUUUUGUAUUCUUUUUUUUCCUCCCAUUUAAUGACUCUCCUCCCCUCUAUUUAAACCCAAACCUCCUUUCCUUUUCAGCUUUAAAAAUGUUGUUCUUUAUGUGACUUUUAACUUUUUCAGUGGUCAAAGACAACCUUUUAUUAUUACCACCUCUUUUUACUUUAUUUACAUCAUUAUGCCUUGUUCCCCACUAACCCUUGUCCCUUCUUAUUUUAAUUCAAAGUUAUGGGCUCAUAUUUAAUCAAUUUUCGUACCGCUAUGUCUUGUUCCCCAUUAUAAUAUUUUAGUAAUACUUUAGUGACUAGUGGACAAAGCACUUAAAUUAAAAUAAUUCUGCAAGUGGUCAAUUCCCGUAUUACCCCUUAAUUUACUGAAAUUGCUAUUCCACCCCCCAAACCUUCAAUCUAUAUCAAAUCAUAUCAGCUAUAACCAAAUUCCAAAUCAAAUUAAAUAAUUAAUCUCACCAAACAAACUCCUAAUCAAAGAAUCACUUCAACAAAGUAAGAUUUAUAUCAACAUUUCAAGAUCAAAUUCAUAUCUGAAAAAGAACAAUCCAGUAGAUUUAAAAUUACCAAACUCAACAUCAGUUGAACUUUAAAUUAAAACAAACAACAUCACAAUAACAAACCAAUAGAUUUAAAAUUACCAAACUCAAAAUCAGUUGAACUUUAAACUAAAACCAACAGCAUCACAACCAAGAUGAAGGAUUCAGUGACUUAAUAGGAGACAUUCAAAAUGAAGCUAAAGCAUGGUAGACUAAUGAACACAAAAAUUAAACACAAGCUAGUCAACUCUAAAUAUUCACAACUAUUAAAACAGAAUCAUACUAACAAAACAAAGAAGCCGAAGGACGGACCUGAAGGAGCUUUCCGAUCAAACCAAAAUGAAUAAACAAUUACGACUGCAUAUUGAUGCGACUUUUAAACGAAAUCAACAAUAUCGAACCAGAAUCUCGAAUGAAGACUUCAACUUCAACGGAAACAAAAUAUGUCCAGCCAUCGAUUGUUUUAAACAAACAACAAAUAGCGAAUAGACUGAAGAUGAUGACUGACAAUGACGAUGUACAUACCGGCGAAGUUGAUGAACACACUGGCGAAGCUGACUGGUUUGAUGAGUUACUGGACGUUUGGGUGGUACAUUUGGGAUGAUGAAGUCGACGGAAAGUGGUCGACGAUGGGGUAGGGUGUUGCGGAGAGCUCGUUCGUCGGAAUGUGGGAUCGACUGGAUGGGACUGGGAUGGUCGUUAGGGGGACGAACAACCAUGGAUGUGAGGCUGGAGACGAUGGUGGUCGUGCGGAAUGACUGGCGGCUGGAUCUUGGCGUUGUUUGGGUGAUGGGUUAUUUUGAGAAGAUAAAGAGAGGGGGUGGGUGCUUAGG